rnacentral:rRNA from 1 species
GACGAACGCUGGCGGCGUGCCUAAUACAUGCAAGUAGAACGCUGAAACUUGGUGCUUGCACCGAGCGGAUGAGUUGCGAACGGGUGAGUAACGCGUAGGUAACCUGCCUGGUAGCGGGGGAUAACUAUUGGAAACGAUAGCUAAUACCGCAUAAGAGUAGAUGUUGCAUGACAUUUGCUUAAAAGGUGCAAUUGCACCACUACCAGAUGGAUCUGCGUUGUAUUAGCUAGUUGGUGGGGUAACGGCUCACCAAGGCGACGAUACAUAGCCGACCUGAGAGGGUGAUCGGCCACACUGGGACUGAGACACGGCCCAGACUCCUACGGGAGGCAGCAGUAGGGAAUCUUCGGCAAUGGACGGAAGUCUGACCGAGCAACGCCGCGUGAGUGAAGAAGGGUUUCGGAUCGUAAAGCUCUGUUGUAAGAGAAGAACGAGUGUGAGAGUGGAAAGUUCACACUGUGACGGUAUCUUACCAGAAAGGGACGGCUAACUACGUG